CCCGGUCCUGAGAUUGGGGCUCCAACACCAGUCUCAGAAGAAGCCAGAGUGAAGCUCCUCCCGAAGGUGGGGAUGCCCAUCACCAGCUUACUGGCAGGAGCCCCCAGCCUCAACAUGUACCCCACAGCAUAGUCAGUGUUGCUGAAUCUGUCAGGACUUGCAUCCUCCUGACCUCGGAACAGGGGACUGUGAUGGCCUGUGGUCCCACGCCAGGCUCCAUGAAAAUCGUAGGUCAUGAUGCUAAUGAAAUCCAGGUGUUGGGAUAUCUUGGCAAUGUCAUAGCUGCUGUCAAUGGUGACCUUCCCCGCAGACAGUGCUGCGCUGAGCAGGAGCUGCUUUUUCCCUGGC
rnacentral:lncRNA from 1 species